UUGUUUUCACAGCACUUACUCCACUACUGGAACCAUACAGAGAAGAUUAGCAUGACCCCUGCACAAACCUGUGAAGCAUUCCACACAUACAUACAUACAUACAU